rnacentral:rRNA from 1 species
UAGUCCACGCCGUAAACGAUGAGUACUAGUUAUUGGAGGUAUUGACUCCUUCAGUGACGUAGCUAACGCGUUAAGUACUCCACCUGGGAAGUACGGUCGCAAGAUUAAAACUCAAAGGAAUUGACGGGGGCCUGCACAAGCGGUGGAGCAUGUGGUUUAAUUCGACGCAACGCGCAGAACCUUACCAGCUUUUGACAUCCUGGUCGCGGAUUUGGGAGACCAUUUCCUUCAGUUCGGCUGGACCAGUGACAGGUGCUGCAUGGCUGUCGUCAGCUCGUGUCGUGAGAUGUUGGGUUAAGUCCCGCAACGAGCGCAACCCUCAUCCUUAGUUGCCAGCAUUUAGUUGGGCACUCUAAGGAAACUGCCGGUGAUAAGCCGGAGGAAGGUGGGGAUGACGUCAAGUCCUCAUGGCCCUUACAAGCUGGGCUACACACGUGCUACAAUGGCGAUGACAGUGAGCAGCUAACCCGCGAGGGCAAGCUAAUCUCUAAAAGUCGU